GGUCCCGUAGCUCAGAUGGAUAGAGCGGCCCUUUCCUAAAGGGUAGGUCAGCGGUUCGACUCCGCUCGGGACCA
rnacentral:tRNA from 1 species